rnacentral:rRNA from 1 species
UACGUAGGUGGCAAGCGUUGUCCGGAUUUACUGGGCGUAAAGGGCGUGCAGGCGGUUUGUUAAGUGCAGGGUGAAAGCUCCCCGGCUUAACUGGGAGAGGUCGUUGAAGACUGGAAGACUUGAGGCAAUGAGAGGGGUGUAGAAUUCCCGGUGUAGUGGUGGAAUGCGUAGAUAUCGGGGGGAAUACCAGUGGCGAAAGCGGCACCCUAGCGUUAGCCUGACGCUCAUGUGCGAAAGCGUGGGGAGCGAACGGG